rnacentral:rRNA from 1 species
UAGGGAAUCUUCCGCAAUGGGCGAAAGCUUGACGGAGCAACGCCGCGUGAGUGAUGAAGGUCUUCGGAUCGUAAAACUCUGUUAUUAGGGAAGAACAAAUGUGUAAGUAACUAUGCACGUCUUGACGGUACCUAAUCAGAAAGCCACGGCUAACUACGUGCCAGCAGCCGCGGUAAUACGUAGGUGGCAAGCGUUAUCCGGAAUUAUUGGGCGUAAAGCGCGCGUAGGCGGUUUUUUAAGUCUGAUGUGAAAGCCCACGGCUCAACCGUGGAGGGUAAUUGGAAACGGGAAAACUUGAGUGCAGAAGGGGAAAGUGGAAUUCCAUGGGUAGCGGUGAAAUGCGCAGAGAUAUGGAGGAACACCAGUGGCGAAGGCGACUUUCUGGUCUGUAACUGACGCUGAUGUGCGAAAGCGUGGGGAUCAAACAGG